rnacentral:rRNA from 1 species
AUUGAACGCUGGCGGCAUGCCUUACACAUGCAAGUCGAACGGCAGCACGGACUUCGGUCUGGUGGCGAGUGGCGAACGGGUGAGUAAUGUAUCGGAACGUGCCUAGUAGCGGGGGAUAACUACUCGAAAGAGUAGCUAAUACCGCAUACGCCCUACGGGGAAAGCUUCGGCGGUUUGGGAACGGCCUGCGUAUGAUUAGCUUGUUGGUGAGGUAAUGGCUCACCAAGGCGACGAUCAUUAGCUGGUCUGAGAGGAUGAUCAGCCAGACUGGACUGAGACACGGCCCAGACUCCUACGGAGGCAGCAGUAGGGAAUUUUCCACAAUGGGCGAAAGCCNGAUGGAGCAACGCCGCGUGCAGGAUGAACGGCUCUAGGGUCG